AUAGAUCACUUAGAAUAGGGGCUACCUUUGAACCUAUACAAAUCCCUAUACAAAUCCCUGUAUAGGUUCAAAGGUAGCCCCUAUUUUAAGUGAUCUAU
rnacentral:pre_miRNA from 1 species